CUUGAUCGAUCCCAGCAGCAGCGGCCGGUCGGGGGCGCGGUCCUGUCCGUAGGUGGCCAGUAGGGCCUGGGCCUC
rnacentral:antisense_RNA from 1 species